rnacentral:RNase_P_RNA from 1 species
GAGGAAAGUCCGAGCUCCAUAGGGCAGUGUGCUGGAUAACGUCCAGCGAGGGUGACCUCAGGGACAGUGCCAUAGAAAUUUAGACCGCCGAUCUGAUCGGUAAGGGUGGAAAGGUGCGGUAAGAGCGCACCAGCAGUCGGGUGACCGGCUGGCUUGGGUAAACCCCACAUGGAGCAAGACCAAAUAGGGAAGGGUUAAGGCGGCUCGUCGACCUUCCGGGUAGUGUCGCUAGAGGCGUUCGGCAACGGGCGUCCCAGAUAAAUGAUUGUCGCCGCCCGUGUGGCGGAACAGAACUCGGCUUA